GCUUCUGAGACUUGUUUGGGGAGGUAAAGAGUGUUGGACGUGCUUCUCCUGGUUAAAAUUUGGAGGAUAACUCCCAGCUAGAAAGGAAGAAAAGCUCUAAAGUGGAAUCGCCUUCCCCCGGAAGCUGUUGUAAAAAUUAAAGGAUGUAUGUGAGUGCACAGGCUCUCCAGCGAUCGUUUUUCUUCCACAGUGUUAACACAAUUUAUUUAUUUAUUUACUUUUUGAGAUGAAGUCUCACUCUGUUGCCCAGGCUGGAUGGAGUGCAGUGGUGUGAUCUGGGCUCACUGCAACCUCCGCCUCCUGAGUUCAAGCGAUUCU
rnacentral:lncRNA from 1 species